rnacentral:rRNA from 1 species
GACGAACGCUGGCGGCGUGCUUAACACAUGCAAGUCGAACGGAAAGGCCCUGCUUUUGUGGGGUGCUCGAGUGGCGAACGGGUGAGUAACACGUGAGUAACCUGCCCUUGACUUUGGGGUAACUUCAGGAAACUGAGGCUAAUACCGGAUAGGAGCUCCUGCUGCAUGGUGGGGGUUGGAAAGUUUCGGCGGGUGGGGAUGGACUCGCGGAUUAUCGGCUUGUUGGUGGGGUAGUGGCUUACCAAGGCUGUGACGGGUAGCCGGCCUGAGAGGGUGACCGGCCACAUUACGCCUGCGGUACGGCCCAGACUCGUACGGUAGGCAACGGUGGGGAAUAUUGUACAGUGGGACGACGCCUGAUGCGGCAACGCCGGGUUCGGGAUGACGGCCUGCGGGUAGUAAACCGCUUCCGCCUGUGACGAAGCGUUAGUGACGGUACCGGGUGAAUAAGCACCGGCUAACUACGUG